GGCUUAGUGUAAAUUAAACAUUGGGAGUGUACCCACACGUUAAGAUUUUAAUAAAUUAAAAAUGUCUUCAAAAAUGAAAAUAGUACAAGCAGCUGACAUGUCGCUAGCUGCUAUGCAUUGUGCCCGCUGCACGGACGGCUUCGAGCCCAACGAGAAGAUCGUCAAUUCGAACGGGGAACUCUGGCACACCCAGUGUUUUGUCUGUGCGCAGUGCUUCCGGCCAUUCGAAGAUGGCAUCUUCUACGAAUUUGAGGGACGUAAAUACUGUGAGCGGGAUUUUCAUGUGCUAUUCGCACCCUGUUGCAAUAAAUGCGGUGAAUUUGUAAUCGGACGUGUCAUCAAAGCGAUGAGCGCUAGCUGGCAUCCGCAGUGCUUCCGUUGUCAAAUGUGUGCCAAAGAGUUGGCCGAUUCAGGUUUUAUACGCAAUCAAAAUCGUGCCUUAUGCCAUGAGUGCAAUGCCAAAGUGAAGGCCGAGAUAACGGGUCGUUAUAUGUGUCAAAAGUGUCAUGGCGUCAUUGAUGACGCGCCAUUGCGUUUUCGUGGUGAAGUUUAUCAUGGCUAUCACUUCAACUGCACUGCCUGCGGUAUUGAGCUAGACUCGACGGCACGCGAAGUUAAAAGCCGGCCGGGCUUAACGGCUAACGAUAUGAACGAAUUAUACUGCUUGCGCUGCCACGAUAAGAUGGGCAUACCGAUUUGCGGUGCUUGCCGUCGCCCUAUCGAGGAACGCGUUGUCACCGCUUUGGGCAAGCAUUGGCACGUUGAGCAUUUUGUGUGCGCCAAAUGCGAGAAGCCUUUCUUGGGCCAUCGUCAUUACGAGAAACGCGGUUUAGCUUACUGUGAGACACAUUAUCACCAAUUGUUUGGCAAUUUGUGCUUCGUGUGCAAUCAAGUUAUUGCCGGCGAUGUGUUCACAGCGCUAAACAAAGCCUGGUGUGUGCAUCACUUUGCUUGCUCCAUUUGCGAUAUGAAAAUGACGCAGAAAUCGAAAUUCUACGAAUACGACGAGAAACCGGUGUGCAAGAAAUGCUACGAACGUUUCCCUAGCGAAUUGAGGCAACGUUUGCGCAAGGCACACGAAAUGUCCAUGAAGAAGAACUUCUAAACGCCUGCGUUAAUUUAGAAAAGUACAUUGUAAAUGCAACACUCUAAUCCGGAACGCGUACUAUGUGCAUAGAGAGGCCAAACAGUCAUAAUGCAAAGUAAAAAAUGAUACUGAUGAUAUUUUUAAAGGAAAACUAAUCCAUUGGGCUUUUGGGAGUGCCUUAAUUAAGUGACUACAUAUUUUGUAUGUAUUAAUAAAAUGGAUCACGUUGAUAAAGUUAUGCCACAUUUGAUAUAAAAAUCGCAAGCACAAACGCAUACAUUUGUGCGUCCAUAGUAAAAGCAAAAAAAUAGUCAAUAAUAUAACAUUAACAUAUUAAGUACGGUCGGCUCAGAAGAAUACACGUACAAACAGCUUCCAUAACAAUUUAUUUAUUACGCGAAAAUUUACUACUGCCAGCGUUUCUACAACAUCACCUUUAGUCUGCAUAUUUAUAAUUUUGUGUUGUUGUUUUCAAAUGCUCGUCUUUACGACCGCUCCCUGUAUGUGUCUAUGUUGCUGUGUUUUUUGCUCAGCCAUUAAUAUUUAAUGCACAUUUUGAACAAAUAGUUUUACAAAGAUUAGAUAUAUUGUAUUAAAUGUUAACGUUUUUCUCUCAAAGUGCAUCUGUUGUAAUUUAAUGUAUUGAAAAUGUAAACUUAUUCUGCAGCUAACUAAAUAAUAAAUAUAAUA